rfam:Cavia porcellus supercont2_111 genomic scaffold, whole genome shotgun sequence.
UGGACCACGGAUGAUGUCUGCUGGCUAAUGAGUCUUUCACACUGAAUAAUCUGUGCCUGAAACCCUGAGUUCGGC